ensembl:lncRNA
GUUUCGGAUUGCACAUUUCUACUGCAAAUUUAAAUGUAUUAGAAGAGGUAUACUUUUUGACUAAGGAAGCAAAGACUUUGUGGCGGCAUCGAGAUGGCGUCUCACCCCGCGGCCGCGGAGGUGUUGGCGUCACCUGUGUUGCUCCGUCAUGGCUUCAGGUGUGUGCCUGCACAAGGCGUGACGGUGGAGGACGUUUUACUGGUGGUUGGAGAAAUAAUCGGAUUUGAAAAUAUUUCUUCGGCGUCGAGGAUGAAUAAGGCGUUAGUGGUGUUUGUGAAGGAGGAAGGAAGGACUGGCAAAUCGAUUGAUAGGCGAUGGAAUUGUGGAUGGUGUCAUGGACCACUAACUCGAUGCAUGGAGACGAUUUGGGAACAAUGAUGAAACCACCUGCAACCAUUUCCUUCGGCACUUUCUGGGUUCCAGAACCUGAUUCAUGAACGUUUCUUUGGGGGAGGUGGCGGAAGGCCUGACAUUGUUAUGUCUGGAACACAUCAACGGUGAGACAGAACAGCAACAGAUCUGAUGCACAGAGUGGCUCACUACAAAAGAAGAUGGGUCUGAGUUUCUGUUAAAGUAUUUACAACAGCUUCCUAUGUAAUUCCUCAAAGGUAUCACAGUAAAUCAUUAUUAUUGAAACAAAAUAAAAACCAUAUCCUUGACCAGAGGCAUUGUUAGGAUCACAAUACAUUCAGGGCUUAGCACCCACCCAACCCCCGGGGGACACUUCUUUGCCACACAUUUUUCAUGGAUUUGUUGUGAUGUCGUGUGUUGUUCUAACCACCCUCUUACUGGUUUUUAAUAUGAGGCCUACAUUCGUUUGUGACAUCUCUCUGGAACCUGAAAUAUUCCCAAACAACAGGAGAUGAUUAAUUUUCAGCACCAAGUCAUCCCUAGUCUCUAUCUCAUUGUCCUCUGGGUUCAUUUUCUUAAUUGAUCUUCUUCCUCUCCUUUACAGCAAGCCCUACUCCGCAUUAUUCUUUCGCAGUGCGCUCUACGCCGCAUCUUCAUGUUUCUUAAUUUGAUGUUCAGUGUACCAGCGCAGUUAGUACCUUUCCCCGACCCACGCAUGUUGUUACUUUAUUGGGUUGUGGAUAUUUCGUUAAUUAUUGAGCCAUCACGGAAUUGGGAUGUUUUAAAAAAAACUCACGUUAACUCACUUUUAAUAAAUUGGAAUGAGUGAGACAUGAACAGAACAAUGUGUUGUAUAGUUUGAUAGACUGAUUUGAGACAUACAGCUGGACAUUUGAAUUGUAAAUCUUUAUUGUCUUAAAAUAGCAAAAGGUAGGUGAAGACGUGUUGUAAAAGCACUUGAAGAUAGAUUGGGUACUGUAGACUGACAUGAUCUUUUCAUUCGCUUGCCAGACUCCAACCUUUAUACUAAGAAAAUGGAAUCACAAUUUGAACAUGUGCGCAGAAAGCUGCAAUUCUGGCUUUUUAUUUUUAUGCUCAAUCAGAAUGAUCAUUUUUACUGGUGCAAUAUCAGAUUUGUAUACAAUUUAUUAGGAG